rnacentral:rRNA from 1 species
CAGUCGCCACGGGAACACGGAGGGUGCAAGCGUUAAUCGGAAUUACUGGGCGUAAAGCGCACGCAGGCGGUCUGACAAGUCAGAUGUGAAAUCCCCGGGCUUAACCUGGGAACUGCAUUUGAAACUGUCAGGCUGGAGUCUUGUAGAGGGGGGUGGAAUUCCAGGUGUAGCGGUGAAAUGCGUAGAGAUCUGGAGGAAUACCGGUGGCGAAGGCGGCCCCCUGGACAAAGACUGACGCUCAGGUGCGAAAGCGUGGGGAGCAAACAGGAUUAGAUACCCGAGUAGUCCCUGUCUCUUAUAC